rnacentral:rRNA from 1 species
UGAAAUCCCCGGGCUUAACCUGGGAAUUGCGUUUGAAACUGCAGAACUAGAGUGCGGCAGAGGGAGGUGGAAUUCCAUGUGUAGCAGUGAAAUGCGUAGAGAUAUGGAAGAACAUCGAUGGCGAAGGCAACCUCCUGGGCUAGCACUGACGCUCAUGCACGAAAGCGUGGGGAGCAAACAGGAUUAGAUACCCUGGUAGUCCACGCCCUAAACUAUGUCAACUAGUUGUCGGGUCUUAUUGGGCUUGGUAACGUAGCUAACGCGUGAAGUUGACCGCCUGGGGAGUACGGUCGCAAGAUUAAAACUUAAAUAAAUUGGCGG